AAGGUUGGCUAAUCCUGGUCGGACAUCAGGAGGUUAGUGCAAUGGCAUAAGCCAGCUUGACUGCGAGCGUGACGGCGCGAGCAGGUGCGAAAGCAGGUCAUAGUGAUCCGGUGGUUCUGAAUGGAAGGGCCAUCGCUCAACGGAUAAAAGGUACUCCGGGGAUAACAGGCUGAUACCGCCCAAGAGUUCAUAUCGACGGCGGUGUUUGGCACCUCGAUGUCGGCUCAUCACAUCCUGGGGCUGAAGUAGGUCCCAAGGGUAUGGCUGUUCGCCAUUUAAAGUGGUACGCGAGCUGGGUUUAGAACGUCGUGAGACAGUUCGGUCCCUAUCUGCCGUGGGCGCUGGAGAACUGAGGGGGGCUGCUCCUAGUACGAGAGGACCGGAGUGGACGCAUCACUGGUGUUCGGGUUGUCAUGCCAAUGGCACUGCCCGGUAGCUAAAUGCGGAAGAGAUAAGUGCUGAAAGCAUCUAAGCACGAAACUUGC
rnacentral:rRNA from 2 species